GAUGAACGCUGGCGGCGUGCCUAAUACAUGCAAGUCGAGCGAACGGACGAUAAGCUUGCUUCUCUGAUGUUAGCGGCGGACGGGUGAGUAACACGUGGAUAACCUACCUAUAAGACUGGGAUAACUUCGGGAAACCGGAUCUAAUACCGUAUAAUAUUUUGAACCGCAUGGUUCAAAAGUGAAAGACGGUCUUGCUGUCACUUAUAGAUGGAUCCGCGCUGCAUUAGCUAGUUGGUAAGGUAACGGCUUACCAAGGCAACGAUGCAUAGCCGACCUGAGAGGGUGAUAGGCCACACUGGAACUGAGACACGGUCAAGACUCCUACGGGAGGCAGCAGAAGGGAAUGUUACGCAAUGGGCGAAAGCCUGACGGAGCAACGCCGCGUGAGUGAUGAAGGUCUUCGGAUCGUAAAACUCUGUUAUUAGGGAAGAACAUAUGUGUAAGUAAAUGUGCACAUAUUGACGGUACCUAAUCAGAAAGCAACGGCUAACUACGUG
rnacentral:rRNA from 1 species